rnacentral:rRNA from 1 species
AUUGAACGCUGGCGGCAGGCUUAACACAUGCAAGUCGAGCGGGGUGAUGGUGCUUGCACUAUCACUUAGCGGCGGACGGGUGAGUAAUGCUUAGGAAUCUGCCUAUUAGUGGGGGACAACGUCUCGAAAGGGAUGCUAAUACCGCAUACGUCCUACGGGAGGAAGCAGGGGAUCACUUGUGACCUUGCGCUAAUAGAUGAGCCUAAGUCGGAUUAGCUAGUUGGUGGGGUAAAGGCCUACCAAGGCGACGAUCUGUAGCGGGUCUGAGAGGAUGAUCCGCCACACUGGGACUGAGACACGGCCCAGACUCCUAUGGGAGGCAGCAGUGGGGAAUAUUGGACAAUGGGGGGAACCCUGAUCCAGCCAUGCCGCGUGUGUGAAGAAGGCCUUAUGGUUGUAAAGCACUUUAAGCGAGGAGGAGGCUCUUUUGGUUAAUACCCAAGAUGAGCGGACGUUACUCGCAGAAUAAGCACCGGCUAACUCUGUGCCAGCCGCCGCCGUAA